UACGGAGGAUCCAAGCGUUAUCCGGAAUCAUUGGGUUUAAAGGGUCCGUAGGCGGUUUUGUAAGUCCGUGGUGAAAGCCCAUCGCUCAACGGUGGAACGGCCAUUGAUACUGCAAGACUUGAAUUAUUAGGAAGUAACUAGAAUAUGUAGUGUAGCGGUGAAAUGCUUAGAGAUUACAUGGAAUACCAAUUGCGAAGGCAGGUUACUACUAAUUGAUUGACGCUGAUGGACGAAAGCGUGGGGAGCGAACAGG
rnacentral:rRNA from 1 species